UACGUAGGGUCCGAGCGUUAAUCGGAAUUACUGGGCGUAAAGCGUGCGCAGGCGGUUUUGUAAGUCAGAUGUGAAAUCCCCGGGCUUAACCUGGGAACUGCAUUUGGGACUGCAAGGCUCGAGUACGGCAGAGGGGGAUGGAAUUCCGCGUGUAGCAGUGAAAUGCGUAGAUAUGCGGAGGAACACCGAUGGCGAAGGCAAUCCCCUGGGCCUGCACUGACGCUCAUGCACGAAAGCGUGGGGAGCAAACAGG
rnacentral:rRNA from 1 species